GAGGUCCCCUUGUCUUCCUCUUCUCCUCUUCGUCCUCCGCCGCUGCCUGACGCUGUGACGUUCCUCUUCUGAAAACCCUCAGUCUCUUCUCCACUCUCCUGCACUGUGACGUCUUCAGCUGUCCAUCGCGGCCUUCUCCGCUCUCCCCUACAGCGACGCCAUUGCUCCUUCGUUUUUUCUUUCCCCCCAUCGGUUCCACGGCGAGAACCUGCAUUUCUCUUUUCUCUCUGCCCCAUCGCCUCCAUCUGCCUUGUCUCUCGGGCAUCCUGCAGAGAGGAAAAAGGGGAAGAGGGGAGUGGACGGCUUUCAUCACCGUUCUUUAUCCUACAGGCAGCUGUAGCGCGCUGUUGGAUGAACAGGAAGGCUGAUUCUUCCUCCCUCAGCAUGCUCCCGACAUUCUCUCCCGGGUCGAUCAGCCAUUUCAGUUCUUGGUGCGUAACUGUAGUUGAAAGAAAUCAUGUCCUCAAGAAUGCUUUUGAAGAUAUGAUGUUUUUUUCUUGUACCUGCAUUGUGAAUGGAGAGGUAAUUAUGUCAAGGGUACUAAGCCCAAUAAGGUGGGUUCUACAAUCACAGUGUACAAUUCUUCGUAUGGAAUAUCACCUUAUUUUUAUUUGAUAUAUGCUGCAUACUGUUGCUUGUUUCCUGCCUCUUCUGUUUCCCCUGCUUGGCUAGUAUUUGAGCUUCAUGGAAACAAUAGUUUGUAGCAGUAACAGAAAAUAGUGUGCAUCAAAUUCAGUUAGCCUAUUGUUUGUAUCUUAUGCAGUUCCUUUCCUUCUCUUGUUCCACAUGUUGAAAACUUAAACUACACAAUCAUUUCGUGUCAGAUUAUUAUCUUGAUAAUCUUGUGUUUCUCCUGUUUUAAGAUUUUUCUGCUGAAACAAUAAUGUGGCAACUGCAAAACAAUCUGCAGUCAUCCGAGGCUGCAUGACAGGAACACAUUUUUCUUAUCCCGACCUGAGAAUGGCCAACUUAUUCAAAGGAAAGAACAGCUCAAAUUUCAUAUAAUUCUGAAUCUCAGUUUCUGAAAGGAAAUCCCAUGCCAGCUAAGCACUUGAAAAAAAAAAAGACGUGUUGCAGAUAGCACAAGAUGUAUCAGAUGAUGCAUCUAUAUAACUUGUUUCAAUAUGAAUCAGUGCCUUCUUUAGCAGCUUUUGAGUGGUUAGGAAGGCAACAUAUAUGGGGACUGACUGCAAAUGAGUCAGCUCCUCUCAUGAUUGGCAUGUUGGGUACUUUCUCUUACCUAGGAAGACAGCCUGGCACCAUGGUUAAAAGGGUAGUGGCACGUUUACAAGUGCUGGAACUUCUUUUGCCAUGGUGUCAGUAAUAGCAAGCAAGUAGGAACUACAAAUAAAACAAUAUAAGAUUUAUUGUCUAUCUAGAAGUCACAAAUGCAGCUGCUUGUCCAUCCACGGGAGAGAUCAGAAGGAUGAAACCUGAAUGGAAUAAGGACACCCAGUUACUGCAAUUUACUUUCUUCUCUUCUGUACUGGGCGCAUACGCAUCAGACGAUUGCUGCACAUGUAUCUAUUCUGCAAAUCGCUUUUGACAAGAAAGUAUUGAUCUUUGACUUGUUAAGGCUAUUUGAAGAUGGCAGUGCUGUUAUGGAUGACUGCUUUAAGCGUAUUCUGCACUCUCACUGGAUUUUAAACCUUGGUACAUAGGAAGAAAUUGGAGGUCUUUCGGUAAGAACUUUUCAUUGUCGAUUCUCAAAGUUGAGCACUAAUGUACCACAUUUCGCAUAUAGGAUACAACGUGCAGUGUGAUCUCCAUCAGUUAACAGAGUCCUAUGAACUAUGAAGAGCUUGAGUGUUUUCAGUCGUAUGAUAUGUUACUAGAUAUCCAAAAGGUGUUCAAGUAGGGAACUGGUGGUCUCUCUGGAAAUAUGUUUCUUUCUUAUCAAACUAAAAUAAUUUUUUGAAAAUUUAACAUACUUAUCAAAAUGAGAACGGUAAAGAUUUUUCCCAUUCAUUUAUUUCAGGAAACUUAUUUCCAGAAAUAUUUUUUCAAUUCUAAGUUUCCAAUCCAUCAAACGGCCCUUGGAGCACGUUUGCUUGCCAAUAAAUAUAUUGUACCUAUAGCAAAAAAAUUCAAAUUUUUUAAAAAAUUUCCAAUCCAUCAAACAAUGGACGAAAAAUGUAACUGUUAAACUCAUUUUCGAAAUUUUUAUUUCGGAAAUUCUUUUCCACCCUCGGGGUGGAAAUAAAUUUCUGGAAACGAUUUUCUGCCUGUUGGCUUCUCUCCGUGUCGGCCUCCUCUUCACAGCCAAGAGGGUCCGCAUCUGCCUCCCCUGAAACGGCCUACUCUUCACGCCGUGCAGCCGCAGUGGAAGCAGCGACCUGCAACACCCUCGACCGGCGAUCUCAAAUAGUUUUGGCCUCCUGCAACAUUCUGCUCCGGCAACUCAUCCGACCUGCUUCUCAAACCCUCUAGCAUACCAACUGCUGCGUUGCAUGUGUUUUUCAGGACUUGGUUGUUCUUCUAUUGGAUAUGGACAGGCACAAGAGUUAGGAGGUCCAUUCUUGGUGAAGAAAGGGAUUCCUGAAUUAAAAUUCAAUAACUACAGUUGGAACAAGGAGGCCAAUUUGCUCUUCCUAGAGUUGCUAGUUAGGGUGGGAUUCUCUUACACAAACACCUCUUUUGAUAUUCUCAAGCUUGGAGACAGGAUCACAGGUAUAUUCUUCUUCUGGACCUUUCGUCAAUGGCUAUUGCUUAAAACAUUCCAGUAUAAUUAUAGGGUGUUUCGUACCUAACAUGUAUCUCAUAAUAUAUGAUCUAAAACAUUGUCAGAAAUAUCAUCCUUGGGUUUGGCCUGUGCUUGUGUGCUCGUGUUAGUAGCGAGAUUGUCUUAUAUUUCUUCCCUUUUGGACUUGAAAAGGAAAUGUGAGUGAAAAUCCCUGUUCAUCUGAGCUUGCACUCAUUUCGUUGCAGUACUUUUUACUGGAUUAAUUACAAAAAGCAGUAGGUUUUGAGCUUGAAUUCAAAGAGUAAGAGUGCAAAAUAUGUGCACUGAUAGUCGUUUUUAUAGAUAUGAUAGGAGAAGACUUCUUCACAAUUAAGAAUGCAUCAUCUCCAGUGUUUUACUACUUUUGGAAAAAACAAAAGUUUGCAAACCUGAGUUAUUCUUCAAAGAGGGCCCAGGGCAUAUUCUGCUGUAACAUAUAAUUGUUUAUACAAGAGGUGAGCAAACAUAAUAUUUUGAAUGUGUUGUUGAUACACAUGAAUGUUCCUUAUGUAUGAUGAUCGUUUUUAUAUUUGAAUACAUUUUUCUUGAUUUCUGAUUUUUUUGUUUAUUUUUCAGAUUUUUAAUGAUUUUCUCUAUUUUUUCUGUUUUUUUAAUUAAAAAAGUUAAUUUUACGAUACACUACUCUACGUUUGUGAUACGUGAUACGGCGUAUAGGUCUUCCCGACCGAUAUGCGUUAUGCUACACCUUUUACAACGUUGAUGCAAACUGAAAUUGGUAAUUGCAUGGCAUAUGUGUUGGGACUUGGGACUUAGCAUCAUUAGAAAAACCAGUUGAGAUCUGCCAUACUAGACUUGAAGACUAAUAAUGUAGCAUUUAUAUGUCAUAAACUUUGGUACAUCAUAGUUUCAUGUUCCUUUUUGUUUCUAUAUUUUUGAACUUUAUAAUUACAAUUUUUUAUUGUUUUUUCUAUGCCUUUCUUUCCUUUUUCACGCUCUCACGUAUUUUUUUCUCAAUUUUUUGUUUUUCUAUUUCCCAUUUUCUCAUUUGGCAACCCUAAUUCCACCCUAAGAUUGGUGGAUUUUAGGGAAUGGAGAAGACAUGCAGCCCCAAAAUAUGGUUAAACACUAGGCUGUGGUUAAGAAUUAGGUAGCAUACAUGGUGAAGACAUACAAAAUCGAAGUGUUCCAAGACCUGUCGGCACCAGGCCAGCCACCGGUCUUAACUUGGGAUACUUCCACCACCUCUAGAUUAUUUAAAGUUUCAUAGCUCUUUCACAGAUGAAUGUAAUCGCAUAUAUGCAAUGCAGUAGUUGUAAUGCCUUAUUUGAAUAAGUUUGAUGCGUGCACUUGGAUUUUUGUCAAAGUAAAGAAUAUGUAGCCUACGCUUUAUAAUUAUGACCUGACUUACUUUUCGUACAUGCUGCAUUUUUAAUCAUUUAAUUUUAUUUUCCUUUUCUAUUCUUCUUAUCCCAUUAAUCUAUAAUAACCAUGAUCAUGGUAUGUAAUUAAGGUUUCUGUGUAUUAAUGGAUGUCAUAUUAAGUAUCAUAUUCAACUAGACUGCAGCGACGGAAGUCGCAACGUUCAAGAAGAUAUGGAAUUUACUACCAGCAGAAUUUUAGAGAGGACAUUUUGUGAUGAUUGACACUCUGAAAGUUAGAUUUGUCCCUUUUUUGGGGACUUCACCAACACAUGGAAUGUUAUUAAAAUUAUGGUUUUGAACUCAUCAAAUGUGAUAGAAAGAGAGAGAGAGAAGGAGAGUGAGUCAAGGAAUCCCUUGGAAAUUUGUGUAGAUGAGCUCACAAUUGACACACUUUCUUUAUCGAGAUUGCACUUGAAUAUCUAAGCAAUCUUGUUUGUACAUAUCUAACUCCUAACAGCUUUCCUCAUAUUAAGUUGGCCACCAUAUCAUUCCAGUCAUGGUGUGUAUAGGAUUUUGAAAAAUUCUUGUCAAGCCAAAUAACCAACAUAGCAGCCUAGUGUUUAACCAUAUUUUUUCAUAACAAAAAAUGACGAUUGUAGUUUUGAGUGCAUGUUGUACAUAAUUUUGUUUUUUCAUGUCAUUUCCCAUUUCUGCAAAUAUUUCAUCAUUCGAUCUUCCUCCUUGUUCUUUAUCAUCUAUUACAAUACAUGAAGAGUUAUGUUUAGCUUCGACUUGUUAUAUUAUUGUUGUAUAUUUGUUUAUCCACACAACAAGUCAAUUGUUUAAACUUAUUUCAUGUAACUAAAUUGCUUGAUCUUCUUGUACUUCUAUUUGUUAAAAUUAAAUGAGUAGCCACCAUGACAAACUACAGUGGGAUGAAGAUCAAGUGCAAUUUUUAUUUGACAUGAUGUUAGAGCAAGCUAAGAUUCCUAGAAUGCGGACAUCAGGUGGGCUAAAAGAAACAACUAUGAAGUUGGUUGAGCAAAAAAGUGAUGGAAGCAUAUGGACCAAUGUUCACAUUAGUGAAAAUUCAAAACAAGCUGAAAAGAGCAAAACCUGACUUACAAGUGAUGAAAGAGAUGCUUACUACUUCAGGAUUUGGGUGGGACCCAAAUAAAAAAAUUGUACAAGCAGAUGAUAACGUGUGAAAAGAGUAUAUACAAAAGUACCCGAAUAGAAAAAAAUAUAAAUAGUCAGCAACAUGGAAGUAUUAUGAGCAUGCAAUGAAAAUUUGGAGAUCUUCCAUUGCAUUGGGUGACAAUAGGAGUUGUGUAGAUAGUAGGGAACUAGAUGAUGUACAAAUAAAUGUGGAUGAACAAGAUGAAAAUGAUUUUCAGUUACCUACUUCACCAAUGGAUAGCAAUGCUCAAACUCAGGGAGAAACCUCUACCAGCACGAUGCAAAACAAAAGAGUGACAACCUCUACAACCAUGAAUAUUGUUACUUUUGAAACCAUUGGUGACACAUACGACAACUUGUGGAAAGCUAACUUGCAGCUGUUUCGCAAAAGAGUGGAGUAAUUUUAAGAGAUAUGUAUGCAAAAGAGGAAUUAGAUAAACAUUUGGGUGGGGCCCAGAUAAAAAAAUUAUACAAGCAAAUGAUAAUGUGUAGAAAUUUAUAAAAAAUAAAAAUUAUAAAUAAUGAUGAAAUACUGAACAAACACAAAUACAUGGUAGCAAUAAUUUAUAUCACUUAUAAUUUCACUUAUUUCACUAUAAUUAUAUCAGCAGAAGGAAAUUGUUCAGCAUUUGGAUUGUGGUUGAUUAUAAAAUUAUGAAGAACACCUGCUGCUUGUAUAAUUUUAACUUGAGUGGAUAUUGGAUAUGACACAUGAUUCUUCAAAAUCGGAAACCUUGCCUUAAAGCAAACCAAACACUCUCUCCACAGUAGUGCGCAAAGAUGAAUGUCUGUAAUUGUAAAAUUCUUCUUUUGUCUCAAUUUGCCUAUAUCUAAACACAUUAAACUUUGAUAGAUGAUCCCCACAUGUUUUAUAUGGAGUUAAUAGUCCGACAAUAUUUGGGUAUCCUGCAUUGGCAAGAUAAUAUUUAUCUAUUUCCCCUUUUGCAUGCAUAUCUCUUAAAAUUGCUCCACUCUUCUGCAAAACAACUGUAGGUUGGGUUUCCACAAGUUGUCGUAUGUAGUCACCAACGGUUCAAAAGUAUCAUCAUUCAUGGUUGUGGAGGUUCUCGUUCUUUUGUUUCCCAUCGUGCUGUUAGAGGUUUCUCCCUGAGUAUGAGCAUUGCUAUCCAUUGGUGAAGUAGGUAGCUGAAAAUCAUUAUCAUCUUGUUCAUCCACAUUUAUUUGUACAUCAUCCAGUGCCCUACUAUCUAGGCGUACUCCUAUUGUCACCCAAUGCAGUGGAAGAUCCACAAAUUUUCAUUGCAUGCUCAUAAUACUUCUAUGUUGCUGGCAAUUUAUAUUUUUUUUAUUUGAGUACUUUUGUAUAUACUCUUUCCACACAUUAUCAUUUGCUUGUAUAAUUUUUUUUAUUUGGGUCCCACCUAAAUCCUGAAGAAGUAAGCAUCUCUUUCAUCACUUGUAAGUCAGGUUUUGCUCUUUCAGCUUGUUUCGAAUUUUCACUAAUGUAAACAUUGGUCCAUAUGCUUCCAUCAUUUUUUGCUCAACCAACUUCAUAGCUGUUUCUUUUAGCUCACAUGAUGUCCGUAUUUUAGGAAUCUUAGCUUGCUCUAACAUCAUGUCAAAUAAAAACUGCACUUGAUCUUCACCCCACUGUAGUUUGUCAUGGUGGCUACUCAUCUAAUUUUAACAAAUAGAAGUACAAGAAGAUUAAGAAAUUUAGUUACAUGAAAUAAGUUUAAACAAUUGACUUGUUGUGUGGAUAAACAAAUAUACAACAAUAAUAUAACAAGUCAAAGCUAAACAUAACUCUUCAUGUAUUGCAAUAAAUGACAAAGAACAAGGAGGAAGAUCGAAUGAUGAAAUAUUUGCAGAAAUGGGAAAUAACAUGAAAAAACAAAAUUAUGUACAACAUUCACUCAAAACUAUAAUCGUCAUUUUUUGUUAUGGAAAAAUAUGGUUAAUCACUAGGCUGCAGUUAAGAAUUAGGUAGCAUGGAAAAGCUAUCAUGAUCGGUAGACCUACUUUUGGCUUGACAAGAAUUUUUCAAAAUCCUAUACACACCAUGACUGGAAUGAUAUGGUGGCUAACUUAAAAUGAGGAAAGCUGUCAGGAGUUAGAUAUGCACAAACAAGAUUGCUUAGAUAUCUCAUCUCUGCACAAAUUUCCAAGGGAUUCAUUGACUCGCUCUCAUUCUCUCUCUCUUUCUUUCUACUCAUAUUUGAUGAGUUUGAAGCUUUAAUUAUAAUAACUUCCAUGUGCUGGUGAAGUCCCCAAAAAGGGACAAAUCUAACUUCCAGAGUGCCGAUAGUCACAAAAUGUCAUCUCCAAAAUUCUGCUGGCAGUAAAUUCCGUAGCUUCUUGAUCGCUGUGACUUCCGUCGCUGCAGUCUAGUUGAAUAUGGUCGUCAAUAUGAUAUCCACUAAUACACAUAAAAUUAACCUUAAUUACGUACCAAGAUCAUGGUUACUACAGAAGAUUAAUGGAAGAAGAAGAAUAGAAAAGGAAAAUAAAAUUAAAUGAUUAAGAAUGUAGCCUCUUGAUCGCUGUGACUUCCGUCGCUGCAGUCUAGUUGAAUAUGGUCGUCAUACACAGAAAAUUAACCUUAAUUACGUACCAAGAUCAUGGUUACUACAGAAGAUUAAUGGAAGAAGAAGAAUAGAAAAGGAAAAUAAAAUUAAAUGAUUAAGAAUGUAGCCUGCAUGAUUGUUGCGCAAACAAAGUAAGUCAGGUCAUAAUUAUAAAGCGUAGGCUACAUAUUCUUUACCUUGACAAAAAUCCAAGUGCACGCAACAAACUUAUUCAAAUUAAGAAGGCAUUACUAACGAACAAGACUUUAAUUCUUGAUGGAGAACUGACUUGGCCUACCUAUUUUGUGAACCAUUUCCACAUAACUCAUGGCUUCCCUUGGAUUUCCCAUUAGAUGAGCUCAAGGAUUUUGACAGGAAUUCCUCAGAAAGCUCAUGAUUAUGAUGAUCAGGAAAAGUUGUUCUUUUGUGAUAAUGAAUAACUUCUCCUCCAAAGAGUUCCUUGGCUGUUCGUGAGGUUGGACAGCUAUUUUGUUCCAUCUCUGUAUCUCAUGCCAAAUUUUGAAGACUUGGUAAAUUGUUUCCUGAGAAAGAUUUAGUCUUUCAUCACUUGGGUCAAUAUCUUUUCCACCCUACAAAUAUUGUGUAAGGGAUGAUUACAAGGUUCUAUGAUGCUUAUUUAGCCCACACAGAAGAGGAGAUUGGUAUCCAAAUAUGGAUGUUUGAUACUGAAAAGGCGCCAUUCCAACAUGUACUAGAUCAGGUCCUUGCAUGUGCAAAGAAUAUGGAAAUUCUACCUCAAGUAUCAGUGAGUGAACCAUUCACUUCUGUGCAUAAACUGAAGGGAAGGCGAAAGUCUGUUUUUGAUUACUUAUCUUAGUGGAGGGUAUUUUGAGUGGAUUAGAAACAUGUAUUGGGAACAUCCAACCAUGAAUGGGGAAGUUGUAAGUGUAUGACAACCAAGCCAUUAAGAGUACCAGCAGACAGAGCAGCAAAUGCAUAACAUGAAGGCAUUGGCAGAAAUAUUACCUUUUGAGCUUAAAUGACGUACUGGUCACAAGUGCAUGGUCAGCUUUUGGGUAUGUAGCCUUGGAUUCUUUUCAAGCCUGAGAAUCAUACUGCACCAGAUCAUCCUUGUUGCCGAGCUAUGUCCAUCGAACCUUGUGUCGACGGGCUGAGGAAUCCACACCUCACCGGUUUUGGUAGUUUAAUGAGGUGUGUCAUGUUUUUCUCGCCACAUCGAUGAGCCCAGUCCCAACUUUAUGUGCUCAGUUGCUAGAGACUUGUUAUUUGGCCUGCCGCAGGUUCGGCAACCUAGGAAAAUGGAGAUUUCUUCAGAGAGUCUGGCUGCCCAAAUUUUGGAGGACUAUUUGGACAGUUAGAAAUGACAUUCUCUUAAGGGCAAUGGCUGAGUGGAUAUAUACAAACAAAUGUUUGAGAGACCUUAUAUAUAUAAAUAUGCAAAAAUCUGUGGUAAAACAAUGUACAGGAUUUUUGUUGGACUGUGUGGGCAAAUUGCCCACAUGUGCUCUGCCCAGGAAUGCCAUUCUACACCAUUCCACCAUUGUGUCCAUGAUCUGCUCGGAGCUUUACUUCAGCUGCCAUACUGAUCUAAUGAUCUAAGGUUGUUUCAUUUAAUCA